CUUCCUUUCCUAGAGAUUAGCCAUGCAUGUCUAGUACAUACCCUUAAAACGGUGAAACCGCGAAUGGCAUAAAUCGGCUAUGGUUCCUUAGAUCGUAAACGCUACAUGGAUAACUGGAGUAAUUCUAGAGCUAAUACAUGCAAUUAUGCCCUGACCUGCAAGGGAACGGGUGCAUUUAUUAGAACAGAACCAACCAGGUGUGGCUUCGGCUAUGCCUGUUGCAUUCUGUGAUGACUCUGGAUAACUUUACCGAUCGCAGUCGGCCUUGUGUCGGCGACGGAUCUUUCAAAUGUCUGCCCUAUCAAUUUGUUGGUAGGUGAUCUGCCUACCAUGAUAAUAACGGGUAACGGGGAAUCAGGGUUCGAUUCCGGAGAGGGAGCCUGAGAAAUGGCUACCACAUCCAAGGACGGCAGCAGGCGCGAAAAUUACCCACUCCCGGCACGGGGAGGUAGUGACGAAAAAUACGGAUACGGGACUCAAUUGAGGCUCCGUAAUUCGAAUGAGUACAAUUUAAAUCCUUUAACGAGGACCAAUUGGAGGGCAAGUCUGGUGCCAGCAGCCGCGGUAACUCCAGCUCCAAAAGCGUAUAUUAAAGUUGCUGCAGUUAAAAAGCUCGUAGUUGGAUCUGGGUCGUGUGGUCGCACGCCGCUGCUUGAUCACGGUUUUGGUCACGAUCAGAACUAGUGUUCGGCUCGGUGUAGUGGCUGCGCAGCCUUUCAGCCGUGUCUGUGGUAAACGGGUGCUGAUGGGUUGAUAAGCUUGUCUUGUUAGCCUGUUGGCAUGCUUCCGGAUGCCUUUAAACGGGUGUCGGGAGCGGACGGCAUCUUUACUUUGAACAAAUUUGAGUGCUCAAAGCAGGCCUAUGUGCCUGAAAAUUCUUGCAUGGAAUAAUGGAAUAGGACUUCGGUUCUAUUUUGUUGGUUUUCGGAUCCGAAGUAAUGGUUAAGAGGGACAGACGGGGGCAUUUGUAUGGCGGUGUUAGAGGUGAAAUUCUGGGAUCGCCGCCAGACAAACUACAGCGAAAGCAUUUGCCAAGAAUGUUUUCAUUGAUCAGGAGCGAAAGUCAGAGUUUCGAAGACGAUCAGAUACCGUCGUAGUUCUGACCAUAAACGAUGCCAACUGACGAUCCGCGAUGGUUCUAUAAUUGACAUCGCGGGCAGUCCCCGGGAAACCUUUAAGUCUUUGGGCUCCGGGGGAAGUAUGGUUGCAAAGCUGAAACUUAAAGGAAUUGACGGAAGGGCACCACCAGGAGUGGAGCCUGCGGGUUUAAUUCGACUCAACACGGGAAAACUCACCCGGCCCGGACACUGUGAGGAUUUGACAGAUUGAUAGCUCUUUCUUGAUUCGGUGGAUGGUGGUGCAUGGCCGUUCUUAGUUGAUGGAGCGAUUUGUCUGGUUAAUUCCGAUAACGAACGAGACUUUAACCUGCUUAAUAGUAGACUGGUCCUCUGUGCUCGUUCAGGACACGGCUUCUAUUGCUUCUUUAUGGAGUGGAGUGGUCGUGAUCCGGCGGGUACGGUGCCAGUUUUUACUUCUUAGAGGGACAAGCGGCACACUUAAGUCGCACGAAAUUGAGCAAUAACAGGUCUGUGAUGCCCUUAGAUGUCCGGGGCCACACGUGCGCUACAAUGACGGUGUCAGCGAGUCUGGAAACCUGGCCCGAAAGGGUUGGGCAAACUGUUUCAUCACCGUCGUGACUGGGAUCGGGGCUUGCAAUUAUUCCCCGUGAACGAGGAAUUCCUGGUAAGUGCAAGUCAUAAGCUUGCGCUGAUUACGUCCCUGCCCUUUGUACACACCGCCCGUCGCUACUACCGAAUUGAAAUGGUUUAGUGAAGUCCGUUGGGAUUGGUUGUAGUUGAAGUGGCUUUUGUCCCCUCGACUACCGCCUGAAGAAGAAUGACCAAAAUUUUUGACCCAUUUUUAAGGAAUGUAAAGUUCGAACCAAAGGUUUUCCCGGAUAGGGUGAACCUGGCAAAAAGGAAUCACAGCGGCUCCACAUGGUUAGGCAGGGCCAUCGUAAGGGGGGGUUCGUGAACUGUAGUGAUCGUAGUGAGAGGCAUCC
rnacentral:rRNA from 1 species